rnacentral:lncRNA from 1 species
AGUAUUGUUACUUUGUCACAAAGUGUGUGAGUGAUUUUGAAAAGUAGAAAUUGUUGUGAGACUACAAGUACAAGUAGGGUUCAAAACUAAGGCUGCUUAAUUAGUGUUGCUUAAUCCCAUUCGCUGAAACUUGUAAAAAUAUUCCUAUUGGUAACACUUGACACAUCAUGUGUUUCAUUCUAAUGUGAAUAUGUGAUUAUGUAAAAAAAAAA